AGUGAACGCUGGCGGCAGGCCUAACACAUGCAAGUCGAACGGUAGCACAGAGGAGCUUGCUCCUUGGGUGACGAGUGGCGGACGGGUGAGGGAUACAUCGGAAUCUACCCUGUCGUGGGGGAUAACGUAGGGAAACUUACGCUAAUACCGCAUACGAACUGAGGUUGAAAGCAGGGGACCGCAAGGCCUUGCGCGAAUGGAUGAGCCGAUGUCCGAUUAGCUAGUUGGUAAGGUAAAGGCUUACCAAGGCGACGAUCGGUAGCUGGUCUGAGAGGAUGAUCAGCCACACUGGAACUGAGACACGGUCCAGACUCCUACGGGAGGCAGCAGUGGGGAAUAUUGGACAAUGGGCGCAAGCCUGAUCCAGCCAUGCCGCGUGUGUGAAGAAGGCCUUCGGGUUGUAAAGCACUUUUGUUGGGAAAGAAAAGCGGUCGGUUAAUACCCGGUCGUACUGACGGUACCCAAAGAAUAAGCACCGGCUAACUUCGUGCCAGCAGCCGCAGUAACAC
rnacentral:rRNA from 1 species